rnacentral:rRNA from 1 species
AUGCACGGCUCCCACCCCGCCACGCUCGCCCUCAACGCGCGCCCCGUCGCCGAGUUCGGGUACCUCAAGGACCUCCCCGAGAUCCUCCACCGCAUCAUCCACGGCGGCGCCUCCACCAGGACCCCGGGGAAGCAGGAGGUGCCGGAGCUCGAGCGCCGCGAGAAGAAACGCACGAUGAAGGCGCGCGUUGCUGCUAGCCAGAAGCGUGAUCUGGAGGAGGCCGCCCAGGCCACCGUCGAGCGCCAGAAGAAGCGCGCGGACGCCGCAGCGACAGCCGUCCAGAGGUACGCCCGGGACCAAAACUACCGCCUCCUGCACGACAUGACGGCGGAGGUGUUCGCUGACCUCCUCGCCGAGGACAUGAAGAAGCUCUCAGAAGGCAACAUCAACCUCUCGCUGGCCGGGAAAUGGUGCCCGUCGGUCGACAGCAGCUACGACCGCUCCACGCUCAUCUGCGAGGCCAUCGCGCGCCGCCUCUUCCCCAAGGGCUCGGCGCCGGACCUGCCCGAGGACCUGCCGGACGCGCACUACGCCUACCGCGCGCGGGAGCGCCUCCGCAGGGAGGCCUACGUGCCGCUGCGCCAUGCCCUCAAGCUCCCCGAGACCUUCAUGUCGGCGGGCGAGUGGUGGAAAGUGCUGUACACGCGCGUGGCGUCCGUCGCCAUGAAGAACUACAAGGACCACUUCAUCUAUUACGACAAAGAGCGCUUCAACGGCUACCUCGCCGACGUCAAGUCGGGGAAGAAGAAGAUCGCGGCGGGCGCCCUGCUGCUGCACAAGAUCUUGGAGUCGGCCGUCGACGGCGAGGACGAGGUCGCCGACAUGCAGUGGAAGCGCAUGGUGGACGACAUGCUAGCGCUCGGCAAGCUCAACAACUGCCUCGCCGUGUGCGACGUGUCGGGCAGCAUGCACGGCACACCCAUGGACGUCUGCGUCGCGCUCGGGCUCCUCCUCUCGGAUCUCUGCGACGAGCCGUGGCGCCACCGCGUGAUCACCUUCAGCGCGGCGCCGGAGCUGCACCGCAUCCGCGGCGAGACCCUGUUGGAGAAGGCGGAGUUCAUCUGCGAGAUGGAGUGGGGCAUGAACACCGACUUCCAGGCGGUGUUCGACCAGCUCCUGCGCGUGGCCGUCGCCGGCAAGGUCCCUCCGGAGCGCAUGGUGAGGAAGGUGUUCGUGUUCAGCGACAUGGAGUUCGACGAGGCGUCGUCGAGGCCGUGGGAGACGGACUACGAGGCGAUAACGAGGAAGUACACCGAGGCCGGGUACGGCGACGCCGUGCCGCAGGUGGUGUUCUGGAACCUGCGGGCCUCGCGGUCGGUGCCGGUGACGGCGGAGCAGAAGGGGGUGGCGCUGGUGAGCGGCUUCUCCAAGAACAUGCUCAAGCUGUUCCUCGGCGGCGACUAA